rnacentral:rRNA from 1 species
AGAAGUUUGGUGCUUGCUCUGAAUGGGAACCGGCGAACGGGUGCGUAACACGUAUGCAACCUACCUAUAACUGGGGAAUAGCCCGAAGAAAUUCGGAUUAAUACCCUAUAAUAUUUAGUCAUCGCAUGAUGAUUAUCUUAAAACUCCGGUGGUUAUAGAUGGGCAUGCGGCCUAUUAGUUUGUUGGUGAGGUAAUGGCUCACCAAGACUACGAUAGGUAGGGGGUCUGAGAGGAUGAUCCCCCACACUGGUACUGAGACACGGACCAGACUCC